rnacentral:rRNA from 1 species
UGGUCAAGUUAUUAAGGGUGCAGGGCGGAUGCCUUGGCACUAGGAGCCGAUGAAGGACGUGAUAAGCUGCGAUAAGCUUCGGGGAGUUGCACGUAAACUUUGAUCCGAAGAUUUCCGAAUGAGGAAACUCACUUAGAGUAAUGUCUAAGUAUCAUUAAGUGAAUACAUAGCUUAAUGAGGGGAACUCAGGGAACUGAAACAUCUAAGUACCUGAAGGAAGAGAAAGAAAUUCGAUUCCGUAAGUAGCGGCGAGCGAACGCGGAUUAGCCCAAACCAAUAAAGUUUUCUUUAUUGGGGUUGCGGACAUAUCAUAACGAAGAGGUAUCGUAAUUGAAGAGGUUUGGAAAGACCCACCACAGAAGGUAAUAGUCCUGUAUGUUAAACGAGAAGACUUUAGAUAUGAUCCAGAGUACCACGGGACACGUGAAACCCUGUGGGAAGCAGGAGGGACCACCCUCCAAGGCUAAAUACUACCUAGUGACCGAUAGCGUAUAGUACCGUGAGGGAAAGGUGAAAAGAACCCCGGGAGGGGAGUGAAAUAGAACCUGAAACCCUGCACUUACAAGCUGUGGAAGCACAUUUCUUGUGUGACCGCGUACUUUUUGUAGAACGGGCCAACGAGUUACGUUAAGUAGCAAGGUUAAGCACUUAAGGUGCGGAGCCGUAGCGAAAGCGAGUUUUAACUGAGCGUUCAGUUACUUGACGUAGACCCGAAACCGGGCGACCUACCCAUGAGCAGGAUGAAGCGAAAGUAAAAUUUCGUGGAGGUCCGAACCCACGAGCGUUGAAAAGCUCGGGGAUGACUUGUGGGUAGCGGUGAAAUUCCAAUCGAGCCCGGAGAUAGCUGGUUCUCCCCGAAAUAGCUUUAGGGCUAGCCUCAAGGUGAGAGAUACGGAGGUAGAGCACUGAAUGUCCUAGGGGGUAUUGCACCUACCGAAGACUAUCAAACUCCGAAUGCCGUCAUCUUAUACUUGGGAGUCAGACUGUGGGUGAUAAGAUUCAUAGUCGAAAGGGCAACAGCCCAGAUCGUCAGCUAAGGUCCCUAAAUGUAAGUUAAGUGGUAAAGGAUGUGGGAUUGCACAGACAACCAGGAUGUUGGCUUAGAAGCAGCCACUCAUUCAAAGAGUGCGUAAUAGCUCACUGGUCGAGUGAUCCUGCGCCGAAGAUUUCCGGGGCUAAAACUUACUACCGAAGCUACGGCAUCAGUAAUGAUGGGUAGGGGAGCUUCCCAUACGGGUUGAAGCAUGACCGUAAGGACAUGUGGACAGUAUGGGAGUGAGAAUGUUGGCAUGAGUAGCGAGAUGUGGGUGAGAAUCCCACAGGCCGUAAACCCAAGGUUUCCAGGGGAAGGUUCGUCCGCCCUGGGUUAGUCGGGACCUAAGCUGAGGCCGAAAGGCGUAGGUGAUGGACAACAGGUUGAUAUUCCUGUACUACCGAUAACCGUUUGAGAGAAGGGAUGACACAGUAGGAUAAGCUAAGCACACUGUUGGUUAUGUGUGCCCAAGCAUUGAGGCAGUCAAAGUAGGCAAAUCCGCUUUGAUAAUGCUGGGAUGUGAUGGGGAGCGAAAUUUAGUAGCGAAGUAGCUGAUUUCACACUGUCAAGAAAAGUCUCUAUCGAGGUUAAAGGUACCCGUACCGCAAACCGACACAGGUGGGUGAGGAGAGUAUCCUAAGGCCAGCGAGAGAACUGUUGUUAAGGAACUCGGCAAAAUGACCCCGUAACUUAGGGAUAAGGGGUGCCACCAUCAGGUGGCCGCAGAGAAUAGGCCCAAGCGACUGUUUACCAAAAACAUAGGUUUCUGCUAAGUCGCAAGACGAUGUAUAGGAGCUGACGCCUGCCCGGUGCUGGAAGGUUAAGGGGAUCUGUUAGAGCAAUCGAAGCAGUGAACUUAAGCCCCAGUAAACGGCGGCCGUAACUAUAACGGUCCUAAGGUAGCGAAAUUCCUUGUCGGGUAAGUUCCGACCCGCACGAAAGGCGUAACGAUUUGGGCACUGUCUCAACAACAGACUCGGUGAAAUUGUAAUUCCGGUGAAGAUGCCGGAUACCUGCGACAGGACGGAAAGACCCCAUGGAGCUUUACUGUAGCUUGACAUUGGGUCUUGGUACUACAUGUACAGGAUAGGUGGGAGGCUUUGAAACCAGGACGCCAGUUUUGGCGGAGCCAUCCUUGGGAUACCACCCUUGUAGUACUGGGACUCUAACCAUAGGCCAUGAAUCUGGUCUUGGGACACUGUCAGGUGGGCAGUUUGACUGGGGCGGUCGCCUCCCAAAAGGUAACGGAGGCGCUCAAAGGUUCUCUCAGUACGGUCGGAAAUCGUACGUAGAGUGUAAAGGCAAAAGAGAGCUUGAUUGCAAGACAUACAGGUCGAGCAAGGAUGAAAAUCGGACUUAGUGAUCCGGUGGUUCUGCGUGGAAGGGCCAUCGCUCAACGGAUAAAAGCUACCCUGGGGAUAACAGGCUUAUCUCCCCCAAGAGUCCACAUCGACGGGGAGGUUUGGCACCUCGAUGUCGGCUCAUCACAUCCUGGGGCUGUAGUAGGUCCCAAGGGUUGGGCUGUUCGCCCAUUAAAGUGGUACGCGAGCUGGGUUCAGAACGUCGUGAGACAGUUCGGUCCCUAUCCGUCGCAGGCGUAGGAAAUUUGAGAAGACCUGUCCUUAGUACGAGAGGACCGGGAUGGACGUACCUCUGGUGUACCAGUUGUCCUGCCAAGGGCAUGGCUGGGUAGCUAUGUACGGAAUGGAUAAGCGCUGAAAGCAUCUAAGCGCGAAGCCAACUUCAAGAUAAGAUUUCCCACCG